ensembl:lncRNA
CUGGGGUUAGAAUUGCAGCGUAUGAAUUUAGGGAGGACACAAACAUUCAAUCCCUAACACCCAGCCUAGGCCAGGGUCACGAUGCAAGGCAGGCAGAAAGUCUUAAACGUUCAGUGGGAUGUGGAGCUCAGGUUCCCUGGAGGUCAAGAGGGAAAAGCAGGCUGGAAGUGUGGCUGGGUGCAGAACCGCAGGGGGACUCUCUGUGACAAGACCCUCCCCUGCUGCCACUGCAGGGGACAUCAGCCCACAUGCCAGUGUCUACCGCUCCCACGCAGCUAGGGUCUCUGCCCUGCUCUUCCUCUCAAGACGUGUUAAAAGCUGAAGUGAGAAAGGCACCUCUCACCAGUAGGAUCUUCAGAGCCCACUUUGCUCACACCAUCUCUGGGCUCUGGGGAAGCAGGGCCUGCUUCUUGCUAACCAAGGCUGUGAUGGCUGUCCUGCACACUGCUGUCCAGCUCUCUGACCCACAGCUGGGAGCAGGUACAGACUGAACUAUGGAGAAAAUGGCCAAACCGGGUUGUUAGGUGCAAGCUGUGGACCAGCAUCUGUUGCCAAGGUCCAGUGGGUAAGACGAGAGAUUCCUCCAGGUGUCAAGCAGGACAACGUGGGAAGGAGUGAAGUAUUUGUUUCUGGUGACUCCUGGCAGUAUGUCAAGCCCCUUUAGAAAAGGAUUCUCAGCCACUGUAGUUCUCCGUAGACCAGAGAUGGCACGGAGGGCAGGAGGAUGCAACACAACCAAUUUACAGGAUGCAAAUUAGUGCAACGUUCAUCAUCUUUCAGUGUUUCUGUGACAUGCAGCACACCCAGGACAGCCAUGCCUGGUUAAGAUGGUGCCCUGAAGGGCAGCCUUUCUCAAACAAGCAUCUCCUGGGGAGCCUGCUCAAACUGCAGAGGCCAGACCCACCGCAGAGCUUCUGCAUCUCUGCUUGUGUCACCAAACCGUACAAGACUUUUUGAUUCAGCUCAGUCUUCAAAUAUAACUCUGGACACAGAUGCCCACCCUGCGCCCAGCAUGGCAGCUGGUGGCCUGACAUCACAUCUGCUCCAGCCUAUGCCUCCAUCAGUCCUACCUUCUCCUUCCAGCCAGUAGACUCCAAGUAGAAGAAGCCAUCCUGGAGGUGCAUGAAGAGACACCCUCAUAUGGAAACAGGCUUCUGCACAACUGACUUGUUGCACAGACUCUUACGACAAACGUACUGCAUGCAGAUGCUGGGGAAGCGAAGGCACAGGACAGAAAGCAUCUAGAGGUUUCCUGACGGCUGCAACUCUUGCAAAUGAAGGCUAAUGGAGUUAACAGAGAACAACUGUGAGUCAGAUACCAACAGGACGAGGAGAAACGGCAGGAUUGGAAGGGGAGAGCCCGGUGAUGGUUCCGGAAACCAGCAUUGCUUCAGGGCUGGUGCAACUAGAACUGCCUCCUCGAAGAGGAAGCAGAGGGAGGAGAGGCUAGGGAACUGCUUGGGGUACUGCAGAACCCACCUCUCCAGGCUUCCUGCCCAGUUCCCUCUCCUCUGCAUACAGUGGAGUUGGUCUGCUGCCAGGAAGCCCUUUGGAGCCACUGAGAGUGUUAGAGUGAGGGCAGGGCAAGGCAUGGUCUGCUUCUGAAAGCUUAUCCCACAACUUCCACUGGCGGUAGUCAUCCCAGCAAAGCACUGGCUCACAGUCCUCUCAGCCAAAGUCCAUGUGCAGAGUUUCCAGUUCCCAGAAGUUUCCAAAGCAGAGGAUGUAAUUACAAUGUUUUAAAGCAAAUAAACACACACCCGAGUGGGAGGACUGC